rnacentral:rRNA from 1 species
GAUGAACGCUAGCUACAGGCUUAACACAUGCAAGUCGAGGGGCAGCAUGAUUGAAGCUUGCUUCAAUUGAUGGCGACCGGCGCACGGGUGAGUAACACGUAUCCAACCUUCCGUACACUCAGGGAUAGCCUUUCGAAAGAAAGAUUAAUACCUGAUGGUAUCUUAAGCACACAUGUAAUUAAGAUUAAAGAUUUAUCGGUGUACGAUGGGAUGCGUUCCAUUAGGUAGUAGGCGGGGUAACGGCCCACCUAGCCUACGAUGGAUAGGGGUUCUGAGAGGAAGGUCCCCCACAUUGGAACUGAGACACGGUCCAAACUCCUACGGGAGGCAGCAGUGAGGAAUAUUGGUCAAUGGGACGAGAGUCUGAACCAGCCAAGUAGCGUGAAGGAUGAAGGUCCUACGGAUUGUAAACUUCUUUUUAAUAAGGGAAUAAAACCUCCCACGUNUGGGAGCUUGUAUGUACCUUAUGAAUAAGCAUCGGCUAACUCCGUGCCAGCAGCC